rnacentral:lncRNA from 1 species
CGGACAGGGAAGCCCAUGGCUCCCAGGGCUUCAGCUUCCUGUUGAGCAGCCCAGUGUGACUGCAGAGAACCAGCCCCAUCCUCACAGGGCUUGCAGUCUAAGCCAUAGGUUUGUUACUUCUUUGGCAUAGUUGAACUGCUGAUACCUGCUGUAGAGGUAGCAGGACCUACCAGAGACAAGCAGUGCAAACAGUAUGGGUAUUACAAGGCUAUAGGUCCUGCUCGGAGGGCUUGAUAAACAACAGAGGCUGGGGUGAGCUGGGGACUGGGGGUGCAUCACAACAUACAUUUCUGCUGGUGGAGAAGAAGCUUCUUUUGGACCACCAGCUCUGCAGGUGUGGGAGCUGCUUCAUGCCUGGAUAAGAAGGAAGAGGCAAGUUGAAACUUGAAGCAUGUGCAACUGAGAGAAGAAGAAACCUUGUGACUUACACCUGUCUGAUAACAUGAGAGGAAACAUUUUCAUUUUAUUAAGUCUUUACACCCAUUUCUGGAGAUAGAUCUUGUUUGUUCCGUUGUGUAAAAUAUCCUCUGGUGAACUUGGCUUGUCUUAUGGCUGAAAUGCUUGCUUUUUCUGAGUCAUUAACAAGGAUCCUGAUAAACAUGCUGUUAUUAUUGCAUAUCUGAACAGGAAAGUAGAGCCUGGUGUAACCUCUUCACUAGCCUCCAGGGUGACUGGGAGAAAAGAAAAAUGAUGAGGGAAGCCACACAUAGACUGUGAAAAUGGUGUGCAGAGAGACAUUGCUGCUGCUUUCCCUCAGUCUGCUGAGAGCCAGGCUGUCGUCUGCAACCACCGUGGGGGUGAAACAGCACUGGGUCUGGGUGAUAAACCACGGGACCAGCAGGAUCCCAUUUGCCUUGAGCAGAGACUGCUUCACCCCAAGAAGGAGCCUGUGCAAGGGAAGGUGUGGGGUGUCAGGGAGGGAGACCUGGUGGAUGCAGAGGGGAUUAGCCUGGGGGAGCCCAGGGGCUGUUGGCACUUAAACCCCAUGUGACCCCCACCUUCUGCACCUUGGCAGUGGGAGGAGAAGCUGAGGGUGUGAGAAUAAGCAUGCACUGAAGAGUUAGGAUGGUUUCCUCAAAAUGACAGAUAAAGGCUCUCUUCAAAGUGGUCACUACUGGUCUGAUUUUUCCUCUCCUGUGAGGAGAGAAACAG